AUUGAACGCUGGCGGCAUGCCUUACACAUGCAAGUCGAACGGCAGCGCGGACUUCGGUCUGGCGGCGAGUGGCGAACGGGUGAGUAAUACAUCGGAACGUACCCUGUUGUGGGGGAUAACUAGUCGAAAGAUUAGCUAAUACCGCAUACGACCUGAGGGUGAAAGUGGGGGACCGCAAGGCCUCACGCAGCAGGAGCGGCCGAUGUCUGAUUAGCUAGUUGGUGGGGUAAAGGCCCACCAAGGCGACGAUCAGUAGCUGGUCUGAGAGGACGAUCAGCCACACUGGGACUGAGACACGGCCCAGACUCCUACGGGAGGCAGCAGUGGGGAAUUUUGGACAAAUGGGGGCAACCCUGAUCCAGCAAUGCCGCGUGUGUGAAGAAGGCC
rnacentral:rRNA from 1 species